rnacentral:lncRNA from 1 species
UUGUUUUUACAUAAAUAAGGCCGUUAGUUUUCUCGUUUGAAUUGUUUUACAUUGUCUUAUCGGGGCCUUUUAUAGCUGACUAUGCGGUAUGGGCUUUGCUCAUUGUUGAAGGCCGUACGAUGACCUAUAGUUGUUAAUGUCUGUGUCAUUUUGGUCUUUUGUGGAUAGUUGUCUCAUUGGCAAUCAUACCACAUCUUCUUUUUUAUAUUUACCUGUUUAUUGCUUUU